GGGGGAGCCCUGCUCUCCUCCCAGUGGCUGCAGAGGAAGCUGAUUGGUUCAAACGAUUUGAUUCCAGCUGAGAACAUCAGACUGAACCGUCAGUUUCACUGUCAACAUGGAGAAACUGGCUUCACUUCUGUUCUUCUCAGCUCUUGUAGGUCACAGCUUGGAAGAUGAUGUCACCGCCAACAGUGCUGAGGUGUUUUCAGCAUCGGGCAGUACUGUUACUCUGUCCUGUAAAUAUUCUGUUAAAGCUGACAAUCUCCAGUGGUAUCGACAGGAUCCUGGAUCAGCUCCUCACUAUCUUCUCCUGAUCACUGAUACACAAGAGCCUCAAGUGCUGAGAGCGACUCCUCGAAACCCUCGACUGACAGCUGAACUGAACCAGGAGAGAAAUGGAGUCCAACUGCAGAUCUCCUCUGCUGCAGUGACAGACUCUGCUGUGUACUACUGUGCUCUGCAGCCCACAGCGACAGGAAACUACACAACUCUGUACAAAAACUCCAGCUGCCAGAAGCCUCCUCUCCUCACUGCUCACCUCAGCUUCUUACCUCCACUAGAGGGCGAUAUAUUCUGA